AUGGCGUCUCUCUUUGAUGCCAACUCCACCAUGAACGGCGGCGGCACCGCCGCGGCUGCAGGAUCGGAUCUGGGAGAUUUCUUUGAUCAGCUGGAUCUCAACGAGGAAGAGUUUGCUGAUGUUGAGAUUGAUGAGGACGACCCUGAGAUCCAGGAUAGCGUUCGUAUUGUUCGUGCCAAGGAACGUCAGGUAUACUUGGUUCGUUAUGAAAAACUCGCCAGGUUUUGUAAGCUAUGUGGCCUCAUUGGUCACGAUCACAAGGAAUGUGGACCUGGGGUUCACGAUGAGAAGGAGCUUAAGUUCGGUGAUUGGAUCUAUGCUGAUGCCCCAAACAAGCCACGUCCAGAACAUCGAGCUACUAGGGCGUCAGGCUAUGAACCAAAUAAAGUGGCGACUCCUAAGAUGGACAUGAACGCGUCUGUGCAGGAUCCUAUUGAUCCCGAAGUCACGGACACUGCUUCUAGCCCAGUUAAAGCACCUGGGGAGAGAAUGGAGGUGGACGGAAUCCCGAAGAAGAGGUUGAACAUGGAUGCAGCUGUGGCUAACUCUCGGGAUGUCCUUGGCACUUUGAAGCCGGUACUGGCUAUAACAGAUGGCAACGGUAGUGAUUUGAAGGAGGGCGACUCGCCCACGAACAACAGUUCGAGCAGCAAACGUAUGAAAGUAGCAACAGAGAAGGACCAAAACAAGAUAUCGGCGGCCUCCCUCGAGGAGGACCGCCGGACGCAAUGA
rnacentral:rRNA from 1 species